rnacentral:rRNA from 1 species
CGUAGGGUGCGAGCGUUAAUCGGAAUUACUGGGCGUAAAGCGUGCGCAGGCGGUUUGGUAAGACAGGCGUGAAAUCCCCGGGCUCAACCUGGGAACUGCGCUUGUGACUGCUAAGCUAGAGUACGGCAGAGGGGGGUGGAAUUCCACGUGUAGCAGUGAAAUGCGUAGAGAUGUGGAGGAACACCAAUGGCGAAGGCAGCCCCCUGGGUCGAUACUGACGCUCAUGCACGAAAGCGUGGGUAGCAAACAGGAUUAGAUACCCUGGUAGUCCACGCCCUAAACGAUGUCAACUAGGUGUUGGGAGGGUAAAACCUUUUAGUACCGGAGCUAACGCGUGAAGUUGACCGCCUGGGGAGUACGGCCGCAAGGUUA